GACGAACGCUGGCGGCGUGCCUAAUACAUGCGAGUAGAACGCUGAAGGAGGAGCUUGCUUCUCUGGAUGAGUUGCGAACGGGUGAGUAACGCGUAGGUAACCUGCCUGGUAGCGGGGGAUAACUCUUGGAAACGAUAGCUAAUACCGCAUAAUAGUAGAUGUUGCAUGACAUUUGCUUAAAAGGUGCAAUUGCAUCACUACCAGAUGGACCUGCGUUGUAUUAGCUAGUUGGUGAGGUAACGGCUCAACAAGGCGACGAUACAUAGCCGACCUGAGAGGGUGAUCGGCCACCAUGGGACUGAGACAAGGCCCAGACUCCUAAGGGAGGCAGCAGUAGGGAAUUUUCGGCAAUGGACGGAAGUCUGACCGAGCAACGCCGCGUGAGGGAAGAAGGUUGUCGGAUCGGAAAGCUCGGUUGUAAGAGAAGAACGAGUGUGAGAGUGGAAAGUUCACACUGUGACGGUAUCUUACCAGAAAGGGACGGCUAACUACGUG
rnacentral:rRNA from 1 species